rnacentral:rRNA from 1 species
AACGAACGCUGGCGGCAUGCCUAACACAUGCAAGUCGAACGAGACCUUCGGGUCUAGUGGCGCACGGGUGCGUAACGCGUGGGAACCUGCCCUUAGGUUCGGAAUAACUCCCCGAAAGGGGUGCUAAUACCGGAUAAUGUCUUCGGACCAAAGAUUUAUCGCCUUUGGAUGGGCCCGCGUUGGAUUAGCUAGUUGGUAGGGUAAAAGCCUACCAAGGCGACGAUCCAUAGCUGGUCUGAGAGGAUGAUCAGCCACACUGGGACUGAGACACGGCCCAGACUCCUACGGGAGGCAGCAGUGUGGUAUAUUGGACGAUGGGCGAAGGCCUGAUCCCGCAAUGCCGCGUGAGUGAUGAAGGCCUUAGGGUUGUAAAGCUCUUUUACCCGGGAUGAUAAUGACAGUACCGGGAGAAUAAGCUCCGGCUAACUCCGUG